rnacentral:rRNA from 1 species
UACGAAGGGGGCUAGCGUUGCUCGGAAUCACUGGGCGUAAAGGGCGCGUAGGCGGCCAUUCAAGUCGGGGGUGAAAGCCUGUGGCUCAACCACAGAAUUGCCUUCGAUACUGUUUGGCUUGAGUAUGGUAGAGGUUGGUGGAACUGCGAGUGUAGAGGUGAAAUUCGUAGAUAUUCGCAAGAACACCAGUGGCGAAGGCGGCCAACUGGACCAUUACUGACGCUGAGGCGCGAAAGCCAGGGGAGCAAACGGG